GACGGAGGAUGCAAGUGUUAUCCGGAAUCACUGGGCGUAAAGCGUCUGUAGGUGGUUUAAAAAGUCCACUGUUAAAAAUUGAAGCUUAACUUCAAAGGUGCGUUGGAAACUUUUAAACUUGAGUAUGGUAGGGGUAAAGGGAAUUUCCAGUGGAGCGGUGAGAUGCGUAGAUAUUGGAAAGACCACCAAUGGCGAAGGCACUUUACUGGGCCAUUACUGACACUGAGAGACGAAAGCUAGGGGAGCAAAUGGG
rnacentral:rRNA from 1 species